CCUACGGGAGGCAGCAGUGGGGGAUAUUGCACAAUGGGGGAAACCCUGAUGCAGCGACGCCGCGUGUGGGAAGACGGUCCUUUGGAUUGUAAACCACUGUCCCCAGGGACGAAGAUGACGGUACCGGGGGAGGAAGCUCCGGCUAACUACGUGCCAGUAGCCGCGGUAAUACGGAGGAGGCGAGGGUUAUCCGGUUUUACGGGGUUUAAAGGGUGCGCAGGCGGUCUGUUAAGUCAGCGGUCAAAGCCCGGGGCUCAACCCCGGGCCGCCGUUGAAACUGGCAGUCUCGAGUUGGAGAGAAGUAUGCGGAAUGCGCGGUGUAGCGGUGAAAUGCAUAGAUAUCGCGCAGAACUCCGAUUGCGAAGGCAGCAUGCCGGCUCCACACUGACGCUGAGGCACGAAAGCGUGGGUAUCGAACAGGAUUAGAUACCCGAGUAGUC
rnacentral:rRNA from 1 species